GGGGGUGUAGCUCAGUUGGGAGAGCACCUGCCUUGCACGCAGGGGGUCAGGAGUUCGAAUCUCCUCAUCUCCACCA
rnacentral:tRNA from 1 species